GAUAGAACAACAUUAGGCCCUGCUCCCUGGGCUUCCCCCCUCGGAUGUUACCGUCUGAUGGGGGGGAGAAGAAUGACGCUCUGUGCAAACCCCUGCAUGAAACCAUUCAUAGCACCUCGGCCCCAGCCUCGCUGGGAGAGAGCCGGCAGCAACUGGCCUACAGUGGGUAGAACAGAACCGGUACUGAUGCGGUCCCUGCCGUCCCAAACACCACACAACACCAUUAUUGAUCUACGCUCGCUGGACAGGACGGUCCCGCCGAGAGAAUGCGGCUACUGAUUCAGCGGGAUCCCCCGCUUGCCCGCGCGGACAACGCCACCUCUGAUUCGAAAACCUGGAGCCGGGACGUUUGCAGAAGUCAGUCGGACUCAGGGUUGGCUAGGUCUACAGCUGCACAGGUGGAGCUGACGGAGGGUUUGGCAGACGGCCUGCCGCCGAAAAACAGGCCUUCCCCUAUCUCUACCUGAGAACACAACGCACCGAAGAGAAGAGCCAAUGAAUGAGAGACACCAUCCAACGCUGACCAAUCACUGCUCCGCUCCUAACAGCAUCCCAGGGACGACUAAGGAACGCAGGAACAGAGAUGGAGGUUUCACUCGGUCAGCUUAUAUCCUCCUAAAACAGACAAGUUGUGCUGACUGUGCCUCUAAGACUGUGGGGGCAUGUAUAACAUAUACACCACCAAAGGUUUUGAUGGGGUUCAGUUAAUAAUUGUGAUAUAUUUAUGCUGUAUUACCCCAAAGUCAAGCACAUCGAAUGCUGGUUAUUAUAAAAGAGGCAAUUCUUUUGCGAUGAUUCAGAAAAACUUGUCUACCCUGUGAAAAGC
ensembl:lncRNA